GAUGAACGCUGGCGGCGUGCCUAAUACAUGCAAGUCGAGCGAACGGACGAGAAGCUUGCUUCUCUGAUGUUAGCGGCGGACGGGUGAGUAACACGUGGAUAACCUACCUAUAAGACUGGGAUAACUUCGGGAAACCGGAGCUAAUACCGGAUGAUAUUUUGAACCGCAUGGUUCAAAAGUGAAAGACGGUCUUGCUGUCACUUAUAGAUGGAUCCGCGCUGCAUUAGCUAGUUGGUAAGGUAACGGCUUACCAAGGCAACGAUGCAUAGCCGACCUGAGAGGGUGAGCGGCCACACUGGAACUGAGACACGGUCCAGACUCCUACGGGAGGCAGCAGUAGGGAAUCUUCCGCAAUGGGCGAAAGCCUGACAGAGCAACGCCGCGUGAGUGAUGAAGGUCUUCGGAUCGUAAAACUCUGUUAUUAGGGAAGAACAUAUGUGUAAGUAACUGUGCACAUCUUGACGGUACCUAAUCAGAAAGCCACGGCUAACUACGUG
rnacentral:rRNA from 1 species